AAAAAAAAACAUUUCGUGUGCGCGCGCGUUAACUGCACCAGCGGUGAUUAUUGUAGUAUGGUUUAUAAGUAUUGUUAGUUUUUUUUGUUUUUUUUUUUCUCUCUCUAAAGCGAACAUCAUAUUAUACGUAUUAUGCACGCGUAUACGGAGUGAAAAAAUAGCGAUUUAUUUACAACGUUUCGAAACACCACAUCUUAGAGUUGGUACACAUACAGCGUGACCGUAUACCAUGAGCAACAGAUACGUAUAGCAAUAAUAAUAUUAUAAAUCGUUCCGUGUAGACGUGCAUUUCUGACGGAAUGCAUGCAGGGAGGGAACGGUGAAUAUAAAUAAUAUUAUGCGCAAUGACGCGGACGCCACCUGUUCUAUAGUCGCGACUCCGUGCAAUACAAAAACGUUACACAUUGUAACAUUUACGAUUAAAUAGUCUAUAGGGGACACAUUUUCGUAAUCCUUUGUCUACGUUUUUUUCUCUCAUUAAUUAUUAUUAUUCAUAAUUACGAGAUUAAAAUAUUUUUUAUAAGACGCGAAAAACGGAAUUAAAUCUCGUAUACAGUAAAAAUAAACCAACAAAAUAAUACCUAAUAGAAUAAUUAGGUUAGGUUAGGAUCUUAUUGCUAUUCGUACUCGAAUUCGGUUAUUUUAUUGAAAAAAAAAAGCCAAUAAUGGACGUGUCACCGAUUUAGGAGAGAAAUAUUAGAAUGGAGGAUGUAUAGAGUAAUUUAUUUUAUAUUUGCACGCUACAAUAAACCGUCGUUAACGAAAAACGAUUCUUAUUAGUCGUGUUUUUUUUACUUUGUUGCCAAGGUAACCCAGAAUACAACCAUUUAUUAAGAAAACUACAAGAAAAAAAAAAAGACAAAAAUAACCUCCUCAAUACAUCAACUGUAGGAGAAAAAUGCUUUAGAACGUUUCUGUAUAUUUUUUGAUCGGAGUAAGAUUUUUGGUAGAAAAGAUGUUUACAGGUAUAGAGAAAAAAACGCGUCACAUACGUCACGUCGCGUCAUAUUCCUUGGUUUACCCACUCUAAAACGAAUUCUCCAGUAUUAGAAAAAAAAAAAAUUUAAAAAGAUCGUGUCUUUUAUAAGCCUUCUAUUUAUAUACCGCAGUUUUAUAACAGUUAAGUAGGUAAGUAGCGAAACUC